rnacentral:rRNA from 1 species
UACGAAGGGUGCAAGCGUUAAUCGGAAUUACUGGGCGUAAAGCGUGCGUAGGCGGUUCGUUAAGUCUGUCGUGAAAUCCCCGGGCUCAACCUGGGAAUGGCGAUGGAUACUGGCGAGCUAGAGUGUGUCAGAGGAUGGUGGAAUUCCCGGUGUAGCGGUGAAAUGCGUAGAGAUCGGGAGGAACAUCAGUGGCGAAGGCGGCCAUCUGGGACAACACUGACGCUGAAGCACGAAAGCGUGGGGAGCAAACAGG